UGGGAAGUAUUGCACAAUGGGCGCAAGCCUGAUGCAGCCAUGCCGCGUGUAUGAAGAAGGCCUUCGGGUUGUAAAGUACUUUCAGCGGGGAGGAAGGCGAUAAGGUUAAUAACCUUGUCGAUUGACGUUACCCGCAGAAGAAGCACCGGCUAACUCCGUGCCAGCAGCCGCGGUAAUACGGAGGGUGCAAGCGUUAAUCGGAAUUACUGGGCGUAAAGCGCACGCAGGCGGUCUGUCAAGUCGGAUGUGAAAUCCCCCGGGCUCAACCUGGGAACUGCAUUCGAAACUGGCAGGCUGGAGUCUUGUAGA
rnacentral:rRNA from 1 species